GUGUUCGGGUGAUCGCUGUAUUCCUUUGAGAAUAUAGAGGAAAGUCCAUGCUCGCACGGUCUGUGACGACCGUAGUGUUCGUGCCUGGCGAAGUCAUAAGCCAGGGUAGUCCGGAGCAAUCUGGAUUAACGGCAGAAGAAAGGCCUGUGUCCGUUUCGGCGGAUAUGGCUGACUAUUCUUGAAAGUGCCAUAGUGACGAUGUCUUUCGGAAACGAAAGAAGUGGAACGCGGUAAACCCCUCGAGCGGGAAACUCAAACUUGGUAGAGGAACCCUUUGGAAGGAAUCGAACGGAAAAAGGGACAGAUAUUUCUGUAGAUAGAUGAUUGCCGCUUUUGUACGAGGAGCAUUUGCUCCGGAUGAAGUGCGAAAGUACAAAACAUGGCUUACAGAA
rnacentral:RNase_P_RNA from 1 species